UGGGGAAUAUUGCACAAUGGGCGCAAGCCUGAUGCAGCCAUGCCGCGUGUGUGAAGAAGGCCUUCGGGUUGUAAAGCACUUUUAGCGGGGAGGAAGGCUGUGAGGUUAAUAACCUCAUCGAUUGACGUUACCCGCAGAAGAAGCACCGGCUAACUCCGUGUCAGCAGCCGCGGUAAUACGUAGGGUGCAAGCGUUAAUCGGAAUUACUGCGCGUAAUGCGCACGCAGGCGGUCUGUCAAGUCGGAUGUGAAAUCCCCGGGCUCAACCUGGGAACUGUAAUGGAAACUGGCAGGCUGGAGUCUUGUAGAGGGGGGUAGAAUUCCAGGUGUAGCGGUGAAUGGCGUAGAGAUCUGGAGGAAUACCGUGGGCGAAGGCGGCCCCCGGGAAAAAGCCUGACGCUCAGGUGCGAAAGCGUGGGAAGCAAACGGG
rnacentral:rRNA from 1 species